ACGUCAGAAGAGCCUUUCGAAUGCAGGGAGGAUGGGGACUUUCUAGCCACAGCAGGCUUUCUCCAGCAUCAGGUCACUCUUAGCAUGGGGGAGCCACAGAAGAGCAUACCAUGUGCAGCAGCCUUUCUCAUCAUGCAAAGGCAUUACCAAUGCAGUCAACUUGGAAAUGCCUUCAGCCACAAUUUCACAGUUGUUUAGCAACAGAGAGUCCACACUGGGGAAAGGCCUUAUGGGUGUAGAGAAUAUGGGGAAUUCUUUAGACAGGCCUCCACUCUCAAUAUGCAUCGAGUUCACACUAAAGAAAAGUCUGUGCAGCAAAUUAAACCCUUUCAACAGCAAGUGAGAUUUACUCAGCAUCAGCAAAUCCACAUUGGAGAAAGGCCUUAUGAGUGCAUCUCCUAAGAGAUGUGAGUUGGAGACCCUGCCUUUCCAUCUGGAGCAGUGGUUAAAUUUGACAGCUACUACUCUGAUCUCUUUCAACACCAAAGAGUUCACACCAGAGAAAAACCUUAUGAGUACAGCAAAUGUGAGAAAUUAUCCAAAGCCCCAGCCUCAGUAAACAUCAGAGAGUUCACUCUGAUGAAAGUUUUCAUGAGUGUAGUGACUAUGG
rnacentral:lncRNA from 1 species